UAGAACACGUUUUUCCACAUGUUUUCUUGC
rnacentral:piRNA from 1 species